rnacentral:rRNA from 1 species
AAGGCCUUCGGGUUGUAAAGCUCUUUCGGCCGGGAAGAAAUCGUGGUCUCUAACAUAGNCCAUGGAUGACGGUACCGGACUAAGAAGCACCGGCUAACUACGUGCCAGCAGCCGCGGUAAUACGUAGGGUGCGAGCGUUAAUCGGAAUUACUGGGCGUAAAGCGUGCGCAGGCGGUUUUGUAAGACAGAUGUGAAAUCCCCGGGCUCAACCUGGGAACUGCGUUUGUGACUGCAAGGCUAGAGUACGGCAGAGGGGGGUGGAAUUCCACGUGUAGCAGUGAAAUGCGUAGAGAUGUGGAGGAACACCGAUGGCGAAGGCAGCCCCCUGGGCCUGUACUGACGCUCAUGCACGAAAGCGUGGGGAGCAAACAGGAUUAGAUACCCUGGUAGUCCACGCCCUAAACGAUGUCGACUAGUCGUUCGGAGCAGCAAUGCACUGAGUGACGCAGCUAACGCGUGAAGUCGACCGCCUGGGGAGUACGGCCGCAAGGUUA